rnacentral:rRNA from 1 species
GACGUAGGGCGCGAGCGUUGUCCGGAUUUAUUGGGCGUAAAGAGCUCGUAGGCGGCUUGUCGCGUCGAAUGUGAAAACCUGCAGCUCAACUGCAGGCUUGCAUUCGAUACGGGCAGGCUCGAGUUCGGUAGGGGAGACUGGAAUUCCUGGUGUAGUGGUGAAAUGCGUAGAGAUCAGGAGGAACACCGGUGGCGAAGGCGGCCCACUGGGCAGUCACUGA